AACGAACGCUGGCGGCAUGCCUAACACAUGCAAGUCGAACGAGACCUUCGGGUCUAGUGGCGCACGGGUGCGUAACGCGUGGGAACCUGCCCUUAGGUUCGGAAUAACACCCCGAAAGGGGUGCUAAUACCGGAUAAUGUCUUCGGACCAAAGAUUUAUCGCCUUUGGAUGGGCCCGCGUUGGAUUAGCUAGUUGGUAGGGUAAAAGCCUACCAAGGCGACGAUCCAUAGCUGGUCUGAGAGGAUGAUCAGCCACACUGGGACUGAGACACGGCCCAGACUCCUACGGGAGGCAGCAGUGGGGAAUAUUGGACAAUGGGCGAAAGCCUGAUCCAGCAAUGCCGCGUGAGUGAUGAAGGCCUUAGGGUUGUAAAGCUCUUUUACCCGGGAUGAUAAUGACAGUACCGGGAGAAUAAGCGCCGGCUAACUCCGUG
rnacentral:rRNA from 1 species